ACAGGCUCUUACCCAGCCAAUGCACACUGCAUCUCCCAGUCGAGAGGCACCUUCACUGCCAUCUACUCCCACCUUCUUCCUGAUGCUUGAAAUCUGUCCGUGAUCCCAGGUCAGUGAUUGCUCGAGGCUGUGACAGGGACACUCUCAGACAGCAGCCCACUGCUCUUCUGGACUUCCCUAUCUCCAAGUCCAGUCACCUACAGGACACCUGCCCUUACAUGGCCUAGAAGUGACUGAACUCAUAUUCAUGCCCCUCAUACCAGCUCCUCCCCAUUGCCCACCAUGACCCUCCCAGUCCUAAAACUCACUGCAAAGGUAGAUUAAUUUUUAACUGCUUUCUCUCCUUCACCAUCCUUAUGUCUGAUCUCUUAUCAAAUUCUUCCCUUUGUUGCUUUUAUUUCAAAAGAUAUUGUUUGUUCAUUACUUUUCUCCUUCACCCUUUCCCCUCCAGCCCCAUAGAGUCCACCUUUGGCCCAAAUUCUCACAGCAUCUGCCACACUGUCCUUUCUUUUUCCUUCCUCCUACACACCCUGCUGGAAUAAUCUUUCUCAAACAUCAUUUAUUGUGUAUGUUAUCAACUUCAGACUCCUCAACCAAGCACAGUGAGUACACUAGCUAACCUGUGUACUCUCUGUGAUGGGACCUGAGUUCAUUCAUGGCAUGUCCAGGCCACGGGGUUUAGUGCAGUGCCUCCUGCACAGCAGUAGGGCAGCAAAUGUUCCUCGUGACCCAUUCAUUUGGUGGUGUUCCCUUUCCAUCCUUCCUAUUCUCUCUCCUGCCUUGGUCUCCCCAGUCCCAUCAAGCCUAUUGGCUUACUGGUGCUCACUGGGGCCCUUUUGUUUGAAGUGCCACUAUUUUUCAUUUCCCCAAAAUCUUUGGUGGGGGGCGGGGGGUGGUGGCUGGUGGGGAAGGGAGAGGCUGACAUCCAAGUUAAUAUCAGGGAGGUUGUGGCAAAUACCAACUGCAAAACCUUGGGUGCAGAGUAGAAUGAGGGCAGAUGCCUGCUAGGAGGGCAGAUGCCUGCUCAGUAAGAGAACAAAACCACAGAGGAGGGCAGAAGGUGGAAAGGAGAGUGGCGUAACUAGUGGCUUCCCUCUGAGCCUGUGAGCUGCCUUUAAUCUUUUCCUUUUUUUUUUUUUAUUUUUUGAGAUGGAGUCUUGCUCUGUUGCCCAGGCUGGAGUGCAGUGGGGCAGUCUCGGCUCACUGCAACCUCUGCCUCCCCGGUUCAAGCAGUUCUCCUGUCUCAGCUCCCCGAGUAGCUGGGACUACAGUUGAACGCCACCAUGCCCGGCUAAUUUUUGCAUUUUAGUAGAGACAGGGUUUCACCAUAUUGGUCAGGCUGGU
rnacentral:lncRNA from 1 species